rnacentral:rRNA from 1 species
AUUGAACGCUGGCGGCAGGCCUAACACAUGCAAGUCGAGCGGAGCGGCGGACGGGUGAGUAAUGCCUAGGAAUCUGCCUGGUAGUGGGGGAUAACGUACGGAAACGGGCGCUAAUACCGCAUACUAUCAGAUGAGCCUAGGUCGGAUUAGCUAGUUGGUGGGGUAAAGGCCUACCAAGGCGACGAUCCCUAGCUGGUCUGAGAGGAUGACCAGCCCACCCAGAACUGAGACACUGGCCAUACGCCGACGGUAGGCGGCAGUGGGGAAUAUUGCACAAUGGGCGCAAGCCUGAUGCAGCCAUGCCGCGUGUAUGAAGAAGGCCUUCGGGUUGUAAAGUACUUUCAGCGGGGAGGCGUUACCCGCAGAAGAAGCACCGGCUAACUCCGUGCCAGCAGCCGCGGUAAUAC